GAUCCGGAGCUUGCUCCGGUGAAAGUGGCGCACGGGUGAGUAACGCGUGGAUAAUCUGCCCUGGUAUCUGGGAUAACAUCUCGAAAGGGGUGCUAAUACCGGAUAAGCCUACGGACUCUUCGGAGUCUGCAGGAAAAGGUGGCCUCUAUUUAUAAGCUACCGUAUCAGGAUGAGUCCGCGUACCAUUAGCUAGUUGGUGGGGUAAUGGCCCACCAAGGCUACGAUGGUUAGCUGGUCUGAGAGGAUGAUCAGCCACACUGGAACUGAGACACGGUCCAGACUCCUACGGGAGGCAGCAGUGGGGAAUUUUGCGCAAUGGGGGAAACCCUGACGCAGCAACGCCGCGUGAGUGAUGAAGGCUUUCGGGUCGU
rnacentral:rRNA from 1 species